CUUAGUGGCGGACGGGUGAGUAACGCGUGGGGAACCUGCCUUGCACCGGGGGAUAACGACUUAGAAAUAGGUGCUAAUACCGCAUAAGCGCACAGAGCCGCAUGGCUCGGUGUGAAAAACUCCGGUGGUGCAAGAUGGACCCGCGUCUGAUUAGCUGGUUGGCGGGGUAACGGCCCACCAAGGCGACGAUCAGUAGCCGGCCUGAGAGGGUGAACGGCCACAUUGGGACUGAGACACGGCCCAAACUCCUACGGAAGGCAGCAG
rnacentral:rRNA from 1 species